rnacentral:rRNA from 1 species
GGUUUUAGAUUAUGAUUUCUCGAAUUAAGGAGGGCUAGGGAGGUAUAAAUUUUACUGUGGAAUAAUUAUUUUAAAUACCUUUCUUGAAAUGAAAUAUUAGUCGUUCUUUAAUAUAUCUGGUUUUUUUAGAAAUUAAUUUAAUUAAGCUGAUUUGUAAUUAAUUUAUUUUAGAAAUUUAUUUUGUGGUCAAGUAAUACUCAAAGGGAUAAGCUUUUGAGUAAAAUUUUAGAACAUUUUUUUAGUCAGAUUUGAAGUAGGAAUAGAAGUUUUCAUCUUUUGUAGUGAGUUGUUUCAAGAUUUUAGUUUAGGUAAUUUUUUAAAAUGUUUAGAUAUUUUAUAAAAACUAGAGAUUUAAUUUUAGAUUCUGUGGGAUAAUGAUUGAAUUAGUAUAUAUUUCUGUUAAUUAAAUUUUCUUUUUGAGAGAUUGAGUUAAGGAAUUCGGCAAAUUUAUUUCCUGCCUGUUUAUUAAAAACAUGUCCUUUUGUAAAUAAUUUGAGGUCUGGCCUGCCCAAUGAUUUGUUUAAUGGCCGCGGUACUCUGACCGUGCAAAGGUAGCAUAAUCAUUAGUUUUUUAAUUGAAAGCUUGUAUGAACGGUCGGACAAGGAAAUAUCUGUCUUUAUUUGAAGAGUAGAAUUUUAUUUUUUAGUAAGAAAGCUGCAAUGAGUUUGAGGGACGAGAAGACCCUAUAGAAUUUUAUAGGUUGUUUAUUUAUUGGUUUUAGGAUUUAUUUGGCUGAUUGGUAAAUUGCUUAUUUUGUUGGGGUGAUGGAAAAAUUUGUUUAACUUUUUUUUAUUUUUUUUACUUAUUGGUAAGUUUUUGAUCCACAAUUAGUGAUUAUAAGAUUAAAUUACCUUAGGGAUAACAGCGUAAUUGGUUUGGAGAGUUCUUAUCGAUAAACUAGUUUGCGACCUCGAUGUUGGAUUAAAAUGAACUUAUGGUGUAGGGGCUAUUAGGUUAAGUCUGUUCGAC